rnacentral:rRNA from 1 species
AUUGAACGCUGGCGGCAGGCCUAACACAUGCAAGUCGAACGAGUGGCGGACGGGUGAGUAAUGUCUGGGAAACUGCCUGAUGGAGGGGGAUAACUACUGGAAACGGUAGCUAAUACCGCAUACCAUCAGAUGUGCCCAGAUGGGCUUAGCUUGUUGGUGGGGUAAUGGCUCACCAAGGCGACGAUCCCUAGCUGGUCUGAGAGGAUGACCGGCCACACUGGAACGGGGACACGGUCCAUCGUCCUAAGGGAGGCAGCAGUGGGGAAUAUUGCACAGUGGGCGCAAGCCUGAUGCAGCCGUGCCGCGUGUAUGGAGAAGGCCUUCGGGUUGUAAAGUCCUUUCAGCGGGGAGGCGUUACCCGCAGAAGAAGCACCGGCUAACUCCGUGCCAGCAGCCGCGGUAAUUC